AGAAAUAUACUUUUCGAAAGUUACGCAAACUUUGGAAGGAUUAUCGAUCCAAUUUAGUGAAAAUGGUGAUGAAGCAAGCUCAAGUGGUUGGCCUACCACGCACUGCUUCUCUUCUCAAACCGGACAAUGUAAAAACUAUGGACGAAUGGCACUCAUUUCUCAAAGAACAAAGUAGUCAAGAAACUAGAGUAAGUGUGUCUUUACUUUUUCAUCUUUAUUGUGUCUUAAUCCUUGGUGUUGGCUGCCAUUGAUGAUGUUGUAGAUAUGGAUUGAGUGUUUCACGAAUUUGAUUUGAGUGAUACAUCUUAUAUUUGGAUAUUUACCUAUGUUUGUUGGGUCAGAUUGAUUUAUAUUUUAGCGUUAAUUUGUUAUGUUCUCUCUUUGCGUAGGAAAAGUGUCAAAAGCAAAAGGAAAUGAGGGCAACACAAACUUUAGUGCAUAGAACGAGCCAUAAAAGCUUUGCCUGCAUAAAGGAUGAACUGGUAAAAAUGAUAUUAGUUUGAUAUCAAUUUGUAGUGUGAGUAUUGACUUCUUUUUUCUUUUUGCAGCGACAAAAAAGUGAGACACCUGAGGCAAUUUCAAGGACUGAUGUUUGGAUCUAUG
rnacentral:lncRNA from 1 species